rnacentral:ncRNA from 1 species
GUCUAAGUACAUACUGUUUAUAAAGUGAAACCGCGAAUGGCUCAUUAAAUCAGUCCCCCCCAACGGGGGACCACCUCACCGUGGUGGGGGGGUGCUAUGUUCCCAAUAGGCUUCUGAUCAUUACUGGGUCUUUAGCUGGCGAAUACUAAGUGUUUAUUAGUACAAGACCAAUGAUUCUUAUUCACCUAGAACCCUGUUCAGUGAUUUCGGUCGCUGUCUAAGGACUAGCAGUGGGGAUCUUAGCAACUUCGGUUGCAUUUCUUGUGAUGACUCUGAAUAACUGAGCAAAUCGUAUGGCCUCUGAGCCGACGAUGUAUCCCUCAAGCAACUGCCUUAUCAACUGUCGAUGGUAGGUUAUGCGCCUACCAUGGUUGUAACGGGUAACGGGGAAUUAGGGUUCGAUUCCGGUU